CUGAUCCAGCCAUGCCGCGUGCAGGAUGACGGUCCUAUGGAUUGUAAACUGCUUUUGCACAGGAAGAAACAACAUUACGUGUAAUGUCUUGACGGUACUGUGAGAAUAAGGAUCGGCUAACUCCGUGCCAGCAGCCGCGGUAAUACGGAGGAUCCAAGCGUUAUCCGGAAUCAUUGGGUUUAAAGGGUCCGUAGGCGGUUUGGUAAGUCAGUGGUGAAAGCCCAUCGCUCAACGGUGGAACGGCCAUUGAUACUGCCAGACUUGAAUUAUUAGGAAGUAACUAGAAUAUGUAGUGUAGCGGUGAAAUGCUUAGAGAUUACAUGGAAUACCAAUUGCGAAGGCAGGUUACUACUAAUGGAUUGACGCUGAUGGACGAAAGCGUGGGUAGCGAACAGGAUUAGAUACCCUGGUAGUCCACGCCGUAAACGAUGGAUACUAGCUGUUGGGAGCAAUCUCAGUGGCUAAGCGAAAGUGAUAAGUAUCCCACCUGGGGAGUACGUUCGCAAGAAUGAAACUCAAAGGAAUUGACGGGGGCCCGCACAAGCGGUGGAGCAUGUGGUUUAAUUCGAUGAUACGCGAGGAACCUUACCAAGGCUUAAAUGUAGAUUGACCGGUUUGGAAACAGACUUUUCGC
rnacentral:rRNA from 1 species